rnacentral:rRNA from 1 species
UACAGAGGUCCCAAGCGUUGUUCGGAUUCACUGGGCGUAAAGGGUGCGUAGGCGGCGCGGUAAGUCGGGUGUGAAAUCUCGGGGCUUAACUCCGAAACUGCAUUCGAUACUGCCGUGCUUGAGGACUGGAGAGGAGACUGGAAUUCCCGGUGUAGCGGUGAAAUGCGUAGAUAUCUGGAGGAACACCGGUGGCGAAGGCGGCAUCCUGGACCAACACUGACACUGAGGCACGAAAGCGUGGGGAGCAAACAGG